rnacentral:rRNA from 1 species
GUAGGUGGCAAGCGGUUGUCCGGAUUUACUGGGCGUAAAGAGCGCGCAGGCGGGCCGAAUAAGUCGAAUGUGAAAGACCCCCGGGCUCAACUGGGGAUCGUCAUUCGAUACUGUCCCGGCUUGAAGGUAGGAGAGGGAAGCGGAAUUUCAGGUGUAGUGGUGAAAUGCGUAGAUAUCUGAAGGAACACCAGUGGCGAAGGCGGCUUUCUGGCCUAUUCUUGACGCUGAGGCGCGAAAGCUAGGGGAGCGAACGGGAUUAGAUACCCCGGUAGUCCUAGCUGUAAACGAUGAACACUAGAUGUUGGCGGUAUCAACCCCGCCAGUGUCGUAGCUAACGCAUUAAGUGUUCCGCCUGGGGAGUACGGCCGCAAGGCUA